AAUGAACGCUGGCGGCGUGCCUAACACAUGCAAGUCGUACGAGAAAUCCCGAGCUUGCUUGGGAGAGUAAAGUGGCGCACGGGUGAGUAACGCGUGGGUAACCCACCUUCAAAUCUGGGAUAACUCCGCGAAAGCGGUGCUAAUACCGGAUAAGACCACAGCCGUUUCGGCGGCAGAGGUAAAAGCUGACCUCUCCAUGGAAGUUAGCGUUCGAGGACGGGCCCGCGUCCUAUCAGCUUGUUGGUGGGGUAAUGGCCUACCAAGGCAGCGACGGGUAGCUGGUCUGAGAGGAUGAUCAGCCACACUGGAACUGGAACACGGUCCAGACUCCUACGGGAGGCAGCAGUGAGGAAUUUUGCGCAAUGGGGGAAACCCUGACGCAGCAACGCCGCGUGGGUGAAGAAGGCUUUCGGGUCGUAAAGCCCUGUCAGGUGGGAAGAACCGUUUCGAUACUAAUAAUGUCGAAGCCUGACGGUACCACCAGAGGAAGCACCGGCCAACUCCGUG
rnacentral:rRNA from 1 species